CCUACGGGUGGCAGCAGUGGGGGAUAUUGCACAAUGGAGGAAACUCUGAUGCAGCGACGCCGCGUGAGGGAAGACGGUCUUCGGAUUGUAAACCUCUGUCUUUGGGGAAGAAAAUGACUGUACCCAAAGAGGAAGCUCCGGCUAACUACGUGCCAGCAGCCGCGGUAAUACGUAGGGAGCGAGCGUUGUCGGGAAAUACUGGGUGUAAGGGGAGCGUAGGCGGGGGAGAAAGAUGAAUGUUAAGUCUACCGGCAUAAGUGGGAGCUGCGUUCAAAACUUCUUGUCUGGAGUGAAGUAGUGGCGGGAGGAAUUCGUGGUGUAGCGGUGAAAUGCGUAGAUAUUAGGAGGAACACCAGUUGCGAAGGCGGCCUGCUAAGCUUUAACUGACGCUGAGGCUCGAAAGCGUGGGGAGCAAACAGGAUUAGAUACCCGAGUAGUC
rnacentral:rRNA from 1 species